rnacentral:ncRNA from 1 species
GUUAAUUUUCAACGAAUACAGUCUACGAAAGCGCGGCUCGCAGAUCAUUUUAGUUAGAAGGUCAAAAAAGAUACCACGGGAAUAACUGGAUAACGCAUCCAUGGUAACGUUACUUUUUGAUCUUUCAAUAUCGCUUUUCCUAUCACUUUGAAGCAGAAUUUUUAAAGAUUGGAUUGUUUACCCAGUAAUAGGCAACGUGAGUUGUUAGAUUUAGAUUGUCAUGAAACAAGCUAGUUUUUCUGUGAUUAGUCAUUACGAUAGUAAUCAUACUUAGUACGAGAGAAACAAAAGAUUCAGACAUUUGGUGCUUGGCCGACUGGCUAAUUGCUGUGAGGUCACCAUCUGAAGGAUUAUAGCUAAAAGCCUCAAGACAACCUUGAUGUUAUGAGGCUUUAUGUAACUGGACAAUUACUGGUUAAUAUCUAAUAAAUGGUGUCAUUGUGUAAUCAAUUAAAGUUGUUUACUUGCCAAACCGUAAAAUUAUUUCUGUGGUACAGUAUCAAGACGCAAAAUCACUUACGGAUGAAAUAAUUACUGGCCAAGGUUUUGUAAGUAGUAAAAUGACCUCCACAAUGCGAUUUGUUAAGACUUACGUUUUGACUGGAUUACC